AACGAACGCUGGCGGCAUGCCUAACACAUGCAAGUCGAACGAGACAUUCGGGCCUAGUGGUGCACGGGUGCGUAACGCGGGGGAACCUGCCCUUAGGUCCGGAAUAACUCCCCGAAUGGCGUGCUAAUACCGGCUAUUAUCCUCGGACCAAAGAUUUAUUGCCUUUGGAUGGGCCUGCGUUGGAUUAGAUAGUUGGUAGGGUAAAAGCCUACAAAGGCGACGUUCCAUAGCUGGUCUGAGAGGAUGAUCAGCCACACUGGUACUGAGACACGGCCCAGAAUAUUACGGGAGGCAGCAGUGGGGAAUAUUGGACAAUGGGCGAAAGCCUGAUGCAGCAAUGCCGCGUGAGUGAUGAAGGCCGUAGGGUCGUAAAGCUCUUUUACCCGGGAUGAUAAUGACGGUACCGGGAGAAUAAGCACCGGCUAACUCCGUG
rnacentral:rRNA from 1 species